rnacentral:lncRNA from 1 species
AAAAUGAAAGUUAAAUUCUAUAUAUUUAAAGUGAAAUUACAAAACUUUAUCUAAAUAAGAGGGGAAAAGUGAGAACCCUCUUCAAAGUGGGGUACAAUACAUCAUAAAUACAAAUUUAUGCAAACAAUUGUUGAUUCUUGAUACCAAACUGUUACUACAUCAACUUCCUUGUUGAAUAUACAUCUCCCUUGUUGGAUACAAACACUUUCAAUUCUACAAAAAUAAUAAACAGUAAAAGGUUUACUAAAUCUUGGAAUUGUAUGACCUUUAGGAUGAUGAAUCAUAGCAUAUUUGAUUAGCAUCAGUAGAUCCGACAAGCUUCAAGCUUCAGGAAUGCUUUUGCAGUUGGGUUUCGAUUAUAAUAUCCUUGUUCCAUACCUGAAAGCUCACUUUUGAAGAAUGAUUUGCCACCCUAAAUCGGUGUUAUAUGCCAUCAAGAUGAUAUGUAAAUCACGAAAUUAACCCCUUUUCUAGUUUAUAAUCAAACAAUCAUAAAUCUACAUCUAUAAACAAAAAAUAGGGCAAAAAAAUUAACAGAAUCCAAUCGUUAAGUACACAAAUUACAAUCGAGCAAUUUCACGGAGGAGAAAAACGAUUUCAACAGGAAUCAAUUUCAUGUUCAUAAACUCUAGAGGCUGUGAUUUGGAUGGAGAUGUCCAUUUCAAUUUCACAAAGAAUCGGUUUCAAUUUCACAGAGGAGAAAAAUGAUUUCAAUUUCAAUUUAACAAAGGAGAAAAACGAAUUCACAAUGGGAGAAAAGAACUUACCGGUUUGGAGAUCGAGGGGGGAAUAAGGCGCUAAAGGAGUGCGACACCAGAGGAAGGCAACGUUGGAGGAGAAAGGCCUGCUGGAGGAAGAAGCCGUUAAGUGAGGGUCUCGUCGAAUGGUGUUGGCGUUUGGAAACUGAAGUAGGAAGAAGAACCAGACGUGGCAGAGAUGAAGAACAUAAGGGUUCACUGCGUCCAUUUUCCAGUCAGCUAUCUUUUUCUAGCGGACCGAAUCAACACAAAAUUGGGGACCGGGUCGUUUAUUUGGACCGAGUCCAAG